rnacentral:snoRNA from 1 species
UGGAGUCAAAGUGGCAUAUUCUGGAUUCCUCUUCCGAUUUGUGUCUCAAAUACUCCAAAAUCAAUCUAAAUGCGAACGGCAUCCUGUUUAAUCUCUUAUAUUAUACCAGAUGACUUGUGUUGGUGUACAGU